GCACUUAUGGUUUAGUGGUAAAAUCAACGCUUCCCACCAUCACUCCGUGACAGUGUGCGUUGGCCCCGGGUUCGAUUCCCGGUGAGUGCA
rnacentral:tRNA from 1 species